rnacentral:rRNA from 1 species
UGGGGAAUUUUGGACAAUGGGGGAAACCCUGAUCCAGCCAUCCCGCAUGUGCGAUGAAGGCCUUCGGGUUGUAAAGCACUUUUGGCAGGAAAGAAACGUCAUGGGUUAAUACCCCGUGAAACUGACGGUACCUGCAGAAUAAGCACCGGCUAACUACGUGCCAGCAGCCGCGGUAAUACGUAGGGUGCAAGCGUUAAUCGGAAUUACUGGGCGUAAAGCGUGCGCAGGCGGUUCGGAAAGAAAGAUGUGAAAUCCCAGAGCUCAACUUUGGAACUGCAUUUUUAACUACCGGGCUAGAGUGUGUCAGAGGGAGGCGGAAUUCCGCGUGUAGCAGUGAAAUGCGUAGAUAUGCGGAGGAACACCGAUGGCGAAGGCAGCCUCCUGGGAUAACACUGACGCUCAUGCACGAAAGCGUGGGGAGCAAACAGG